UGGUUAAUACGCUAUACAUAGACUGUGUUUUUCCAAUGGGUAAUUUUUAUAGAACCCCCCUUGAUCUAGUGUUAUACAAUUCUGUUUGUCUUUAGUAAGGUUCUAAGGGAACUCUAGUGAAGAAAGUUGUCAUAGAAUAAUAAGGACAAGAAGAAUGGCCACCCCAUUAUCAACCGUUACCAACAAUACCUACUACAUGUAUAAUAUACAUGGUGAUUGUGAAGCUGUACAGAUUGGAACAUCAAACACAAUAAAUGAAACUAGUAACCAGACCGACCUGGAUGAUCGCACAUCCGAGAUGGAAGAUUUCCGGUUUAAAUUUAAUCGCUGAAAAUGGCUGAAAAAUUUGAAAGAAAAGAUGAAGAAAUAGCUGAAUUAAAAGACAGGGUGGCUGACCUGGAAGCAUUUUAGAAGAAAGUAGAACAAUCAGAAGUUAAGAAAAAUACCAACACUAACACUAGGCGUUUUAAGAGAGAUACGAGCGAUGACAUUAUUUUACGGUUACUUGACGACGGAGAUGAAGAUAUGGAUACUAUAACUGUCAGUAAGAACGUCCGUUUAAAUGAUUUAAUAAAGUUGAUAGAAGUGAAGAAGGAUGUAAAGAUUAGCAGGAUUGAUAUAUGGGGAUAUAGAGAUGCAUAUUUUAGUUUGUUUGAUCUAUGGGGAUCUAGGCCUAGGGGUAUGACAUGGAUCUACAGCAGUGAUAUCAACAAGAAGGACUGUAGGCUGGAAUGUGUUGUAGUCCAGGACAUGGUGAUGUACUGGUGAUAGUAACAUAUAGCGAUUAUAGUGAUAGGAUGGUUUGAUGGGUUCAACACUUCUUCUUUUGUUUUAUAAUGGUUGACCUGGGUUGGCCGAGAGGAUGGGGAACGAGGUUAGAUAUUAUUGUCUUUUUGUGGUGGUGUGAUUGUUGUGUUUAGUGAUGAGUGGUGGUGUGUUUUAGGAGUGAUUGUGUAAGUGAUGAGUGGUGGUGUGGUAGGAGUGAUUGUUGUGUUUAGUGAUGAGUGGUGGUGUGUUUUAGGAGUGAUUGUGUAAGUGAUGAGUGGUGGUGUGGUAGGAGUGAUUGUUGUGUUUAGUGAUGAGUGGUGGUGUGUUUUAGGAGUGAUUGUGUAAGUGAUGAGUGGUGGUGUGGUAGGAGUGAUUGUUGUGUUUAGUGAUGAGUGGUGGUGUGUUUUAGGAGUGAUUGUGUAAGUGAUGAGUGGUGGUGUGGUAGGAGUGAUUGUUGUGUUUAGUGAUGAGUGGUGGUGUG